GUUUUUAAGGAUUUAUUUAUUUUGGGGAGAGAGAGAGAGCACAGCGGUGAGGGGCAGAGGAAAUAGGAGAGAAUCUCUCCGACACCCCGCUGAGCACGGAAAACAAUGCGGGGCUCGAUCUCACCACCUGAGAUCACAACCUGAGCUGAAAUCAAGAGUCGGAUGCUUGACCGACAGCCACCCAGGCCCCCGUGUGUGACCCCUGGCUUCUUUGUUCCAGAGUGACAUGGUGGCCUCGUCCUCCGACCUCUUCAAGCAAAGCCAGCAACACAUGUAGGCAGAGAGGCAGGCAGAGAGAGAGGAGGAAGCAGGCUCCCUGCUGAGCAGAGAGCCCGACGUGGGACUCGAUCCCAGGACCCUGAGAUCAUGACCUGAGCCGAAGGCAGUGGCUUAACCCACUGAGCCACCCAAGCGCCCUGUAGCUGCUUUUCAUGUUGCAGGAUACACCUGAUGGAGGAGGUUGGCUGAAACCCCCAGAAGGUGCUCAAUUAUGUCCCCCAGGGGGCAUGCAGCCGGACCUCCGCUGGGGCUCUGCUGGGGCCUGGCCCUCAGGACUGAUUCCCUGAGUCACGGAGAAGGAUGCUGUGUCCUCUGCGCAACCCCCAUCGGUGUGCUCUUCUGUCCCUCUCUCGGCUGAGGGAGGGAGGCUUCUGCCCACCCUGGGACCCCCAGCCUUGACCGGACACUCUGUCCUCACCUCUCGGAAGGCAGGAGGCCGGAGGCCGGUCCCAGGCUGGGCUUGCUGUUCCCUGCGACCCGGACCCACCCACCCC